AAAAAAACCUCUAUUAAACCAAAACUACCAAACGAAUCCUCCGCCUCCUCCCCUGCUCUCGCCAUCGCCCGCAGAGCUCCACCCAAUCCCUCGCUCGCUCGGUGAGAUCCAAGGCGGGCGCGUCGGCUGGGAGCGGACCCACGCGGGAGGAGGAGUUCGGCGAGCAUGAGCUGGAGGUGGCAGCCAUUCUCGCGGACCUGUCGUCCAUCGUGCGGGCCAGCAGCAGGAGCAGGCGCGGCCGGAGAUCCCCUCGUGGAGCCGGCGCCGGCCGAGGAAGGCCCUAGCGGCUCCGCCGGCGAAGAAGCCCGCGGCCGAUAGCCCGGACACCCCGCUCGCCUUCCUCGACGACGACGAGGCGGCGGCAGCGCAGGACAAGUCGGCGCAGGAGCAGCGCGGCGAUUUUGACGAGUAGGAGAUGGAGCGCGUCACAAGCACCUUGGCUGCACCCUGAGGUUAUCCAUCAGGCAAACUGUCAUCGCACUGUCGUUCACGAUGUUGCUCCCAAGCCUCCCGACGAGAUUGACUCUUUCACAAAUCAUGUCAACAAGACUAGCAAUUUGAAGAGGCUGCUGCACAUGAUAUGAAGAUAUUGGCAUAUACAGUCCCAAACAUAAGUUUCAAAAUAGCAGGUGUGGAGUUUAGCCCUGUUCCGCUGUAUGGAAAGCCAUGACCUCCACACAGAUGAUGCAAGAGGAAAGAAGCUAGACUCACAACUUUGGUUUUCAGGCAUCUUCACCAACAAAUAUUACCCUGGUACUGACAGCAAAUCAAGGACUUUAGAGCCUGGCCGCAGACCUCACGGAGCACCAACGAUAGCCUCAAGGUGAUUCAGCAGAGCAAGGUGAUGAGUACUCAGCUGGCUGGUCAAUAUCAAUGAUCUUAUCGGCCGGCAAAGCGGAGACGGACGACCACGGUCCCGACCUUGCCAGCAGGCGGAGACAAUAAAUGGGAUCAAGGGAAGUUGGUCGGGCUCCAGUGGCACAUGCUUACCACUGCUGACUCUUGCCGGGAAAGGUAUGUUGGUUUGAUUCUUUCAAGAUCCCAAACUAAAACAAGUCACCUAUGAAAUUUGAAUGAUGCAAAGGUUUGUUGUCUCUUCCCAAGAAAUUGUGUGCAGAGAAGCUGCCUUGAUUUUACAUGCUGAACCUAUUUUUGCAUAAUCAAACACUGACGAUAAGAGAGAUGAAUGUGCAGUAUGCUAAAUUUGGGUAUCCAAUUGCAAAAGAAUUGGAUUAUUAUUUACAUUAGAAGCCAGGUUAUCACUAUGUAUUUUAAAUUGAUCGCUCAUGGACCGCUCAAUUGGCCAUAAACACAACAUAAUUCGAUCCCUCCCUUCAAAUUGGCAACUAAAGGGAAGGUGAGUUAAAAUGUCUCAGCCCCUGUGACCUGGCUGGUUAUGUUUAUAUUACAUCCAAUAUUAUGUGUACUCAUUUGAUCUAAGGUUAUUUUUAAUAACUUGUUUUUUUUGUCACGAACAAAUCGAUGAACCGGCGGUCCAACCGGUGACAGACGCAACGGUUCAGUUGCCCGUUCGGUUUUAAAAAAUAUAGUCCGAUGGCCAUGGUGGAAGAACACGACAUGAAGUGCUUUGUAUCCCGAGAACGACGAGGAGACAUGAUCAGCCGGUGGCAGUGCUUCGCACUUCGAGCAGUAGGGAUACUUGAUCAUAGGGAAAGGGAAGGGAGAUGAGUUCGUGCUUGCAUGAUUUUUAGGGAAAGAGCGUGUGUAUUGUACUUCUGUGUGCAUGAAGUGUUUUGUUUGGGCCAAGCCCAAAUAAUGAAAAUAAAACACUAUCUCUAAAACUAUUCAAA